rnacentral:lncRNA from 10 species
UUUCACACCUGGAUGUGCUCACUCAACCAAGAAUAUAGAGAAAGAGCUUCUGCCCUGAGACUCAGAAAAAUAUUCUCCUGUGCUUUGGUUCAGUAUAGAUUUCUAAACCCUGAUCAUUGCUUAAGAGAUAUUCACUGAGGUUGCUGAGACAAAGGAAAACCCACUCCCUUGGAGGAGCAUGACCUUUUCCUGUAAUUCUUCCCACUGCUGUUGUUGAGCUCCUUGGAUCCUGGCUCCUGGACACCAUCAUCAAGAAGACUUUAUGGAUGGGCUGUCCACCCACUGAGAGAAGAGGAGCAUCAGCUACAGUUUCUCUCUAGAUUGCCUUCUUCAUUUUGAGUAAUGACUGUCAGCAGGGUCAGAUUAAACACAAAACAACUGGACAAUUGCUUGGAGGACUAAACUAUAAGGGCACUAACAUGUCAAUAGUAGGCUAACACAUCCAUGGAAAAUAUAUUUACCAGCUCUUCUCUCAGGGAGGAUUCUGUGUGGGGUUGGAAGUAAUGAUUUGUUAAAUUCCUUAGGGGUAGAAAGUAGGGCAUAAUCAGAAUAUAGAGGAAUAUGCUGUUUGACUUCAGGGUUUCUGUUUUUCUUACUAGGAUAUAUAAAACAGGGACUCUAGCUAGAUUGUUUAUGACCACAGAGGGUAGGCUGAGUGCUCCCAUGAUCUUCCUGCUUGGUUCUUGCCCAUACAGAGGUCAGCCUUUCCUCUAAUAAAGAUUGAACAAGUAGUGGUCUGAGGGAGACACCAAUUCAUUACCCUACAUGUCUCUUCUCUGCACUCCAGGGCUUUGAUAAUAAAGACACUGGCAGACUAUCUAUCUUCCAUUUCUAUAAUGUGAGCCCUUAGGGAGUCUUCGUUCACUUGGGGGUGAGGGUCAUUGCUCACAGAGUAGUUCAAGUCAAAUGGAACUUGAACUCUUUGCCUAUGGGCCUGGUGGUCAGACUCUGUGUUGAGUUCAUUAGAUUAUUGGAGACACAAGGUAGAGCUGGAUGCUUCAAAAAUAUUUGGCUAAAGGAUGACAUUGCUGGUUAUUUGUAGAUAAAGCCAUGAUGGAACCUGCUUGGAAUCAUGAAAUAUGGAACUGGUGGUCAUGUUUAAAAAUACAACUAAUAGUUAAGUACCUACUGGACACUGUAGAGACUUAGGGGCUAGACAGACAUGGUUCCUGCCCCCUUGGAGCUUACACUGUAGCUUCCCCUUAGGUAUGAAGAACAGUGGCUACAACUAACAAAUGGCCACAAAGAUAUAAUUGAGCCAGUGUUCCAAUUAUUAGGGUAAUUCCUAUUUCCUUAAUCAUUCCUAUUGACCAUGUUCUAUAAGCCUGCAUUCUAUAAAUGGCGUAUGACCAUGGGCUGUUUCCCCCCAGCAAGUUGUACAAAGUUCUGUGGUACCAGGGAAAGGGCUUAAGGUUAGCAGGGCCUCUGCGGAAGGACAUAUGAAGUGACUUGGGUUAGGAAACAGGAAGGGAUAGGAUUCAAGAACAGCUAUUGCUUCUGUUCUAUAUAGGAAACUGCAGCGUGAAAAAUGCUGGGCUGGGAAUUUUGAGACCUGGGUUUUAGUUUGUGUUCUAAUACUAACAAGCUAUGUGACUGUGGGUAAGUCAUUUCACAUUCCAUUUGGAUGCCUCUUGAGUGACUCCAGGCCUCUCCAGCUCUAAAACAUUAAGAUCAGGCCCUACGCUACAGCUGGCCAGUGUGUAAUUCUUCUGUUUCUAUGCUGUUAGGUCAAAUAGAUCUUCAAUAGUUACUUGAUUGUUAUUACUUUUUUCUGAAGUGGGUGUUUUAUCAAUGUUUUAGGAUACAGUGAGUCUGCUUCUCCCCUUUGGAGUUAGGAAGGUUGUAGGAAUAUACACUGUAGAGCAUAUGGGAGCUUUAUCCCCUCCUUUUUUCCCCGCUACCUUUCUCCCUCUCCUUCCCUUCAUCACAUUUCUAUUGAGCAUAUGCCAUUGCCGUGUACCAGGUGUGUGCUAGGUUUGGAGAUACAAGGUAAACCUGAGACUUUCCCAGUCUCCAGGAGACAAAACCCUAAUUUCUUUCAUCUGCUGUCUUUCUCUUUGGAAAGAAUCAACGAUAUCCCAGGGGAAUGUGCCCAUGUCCCAGGGUAACCAACUACAGACAGAUGCCCCAUUCUACUCAAGCAACUUUUAGAGUGCCUUGAGAUACACAUCAGAUAAUUAUGCAGGGCCAGGCAUGGUGCUGCACACUUGUAAUCACAGCACUUUGGGAGGCCGAGGCAGCAGAUUGCUUGAGCCCAGGAAUUCAAGUGUAGCCUAGGGAACAUGGCAAAACCCCAGCUCUACAAAAAAAUACACAAAUUAGCUGCGUGUGGUGGCCUAUGACAGGAGGCUGAGAUGGGAGGAUUGCUUGAGCCUGUGAGGUCGAGGCUGCAGUGAGCCGAGAUCAUGCCAUUACUCCAGCCUGGGUGACAUAGGGAGACCCUGUCUUGAAAAAAAAAAAAAAAAGAUAAUUAUUCAGCCCUAGAGUCAUUGUGAAAAGAUCUAUCUUCAGAUAUAAGGAAGAAACAAUCUUUUAUUUCUUAGGAUAAAUCUGUAGAAGGACCUCCAGACAGUGAAGGCCACUGACUACUUUAUACUCUGUAAGCCAUCCCUCCCUGGUAGGAAGGACUAUUUCCAAUCUUACAGAGUACCUCUCAGCAAAUAGACGUUUUCACAUAUACUGUGAUUCAUACAUCCCUAUGGCUGGUGACCUCUUUAAAAAGGAAAGGAAAAAGCCUAAUCAAACAAAAAGAUGCUGCUAGUAAUUCUUACCCUAUUGUGAAUCCUAUAUAAGCAAAUUUGUAUCUUUGUUUUUUCCUACAUUAGCAGAUCUAUUUGAUGUAUAUCUCUGAGUGCAGAAAAUAUUUUAUGGAAAAAUCAAUAUAUGGAAUUUCAAAUUCAGAAUUGCUGAUACACACUAUUUGGUUUCACAAUUUUAUCCUAGGAAAUAGUAUUAGAGAUUUCAAUUUCUGGCUUAAAUGGUAGAAUUAAUUACUCUUAACUCUUAAUUUUACUUCUGAGUUGAGGUCAAGGAACAGGCAGACACCUGCAGUUAACGUCUAUACCUCUCCAUGGCCAAGAGUUUUAAUUUUCUCGUCUUCAAUUUUGUAGAUGUUCAUCAUUACUAAAUGGAUUGAUUAGUAUUUUAUCUCCUCUCCUUGUCCUUACUUUCCCUCUGGUAAAUAUGUUAUAAACAGUGUAAGGCUCCUAAGAUAGAGUAGCUGGUAGGACUUAGAAGAGAAACAAAGGGCACUGAUAACUCACAUAAAUGGAAAAUUGGCUCUGGAAUAACUGACAACAUAUUCAAGUAUUUUAGUGCAGUGUCACUCUCAUUAAGAAGAAGAGAAUCAGUAAAUCUAUGUGACUCUAAACAUUCUAAUGAAAAAAGGAAUAUUCUGCCAAUUAUCUCACAUUUCUAAAUAUCUGGAUAUUGGCCAUUGUAAAGACAAAACAUACAGAUGAUGGACUUGUCUUUCCACCUCUCAUUUGCAUGGUUUGGAGCAUUGUACCUCCAGCCAUAGACUCUAAGGCAAUUUAUAUUUGCUUCCUCUUCCCUCUUGAGAGAAAACGAAAAUCUUAUUUUUCCAAGCAAUUAAAACUCUUCUGCUUCAGCUAGGAUGAAAGAAUUAGGAGUUCUGUCUCCUUGUAUCUAAUUGCAUGUUUCAUCUUUCUUGUUUUAAUGAUUGACAGAAAACUAAUAAACUGAGACAUCUUUGAAUCCAGGUUGAAUGUACUCUCUUGGUGGCCCCAUUGCUAAUUUGUUUGACUAUUUUGCAGGAUUUCUUACUCUGUAAUGGAAAGGUUUAUUAAAUAUGAGGGGUGCAAA